GACGAACGCUGGCGGCGUGCCUAAUACAUGCAAGUAGGACGCAGAUGCGACCGUGAGAGUAACGCGUCGGUCACUGCCUAUUAGAGGGGGAUAACUAUUGGCAACGAUAGCUACUACCGCAUACUAGUAGAUGGACCUGCGUUGUAUUGGCUAGUCGGUAGGGUAAGGGCCUACCUAGGCGACGAUACAUAGCCGACCUGGGAGGGUGAACGGCCACACUGGGACUGAGACACGGCCCAGACUCCUACGGGAGGCAGCAGUAGGGAAUCUUCGGCAAUGGGGGGAAGCCUGACGGAGCAACGCCGCGUGAGUGAUGACGGUUUUCGGGUCGUAAAGCUCUGUUGUUCAGGAAGCGGUACUUAAACAGAAAGCGACGGCUAACUACGUGCCAGCAGCCGCGGUAAUAC
rnacentral:rRNA from 1 species